rnacentral:rRNA from 1 species
UACGGGGGGGGUAAGCGUUGUUCGGAAUUACUGGGCGUAAAGGGCUCGUAGGCGGCCAACUAAGUCGGAUGUGAAAUCCCCAGGCUCAACUUGGGAACUGCAUCCGAUACUGGAUGGCUUGAAUUCGGGAGAGGGAUGCAGAAUUCCAGGUGUAGCGGUGAAAUGCGUAGAUAUCUGGAGGAAUACCGGUGGCGAAGGCGGCAUCCUGGACCGACAUUGACGCUGAGGAGCGAAAGCUAGGGGAGCAAACAGG